rnacentral:lncRNA from 1 species
UGACAAGUGGUAUAGGUCUGCGCCCAGGAUCCGAACCUGUGAACCCAGGCUGCUGAAGCAGAGCGCGCUGAGGAACUUUAACGGCUAAGCCAUGGGGCCGGCCCUAGUUCUCCAUUUUUUUGAUGAAGUAAUGGAAGUGCUGGGGCCAGAUGUUGAAUGAUUGGCCAUCAUUUGGGACCCAAACAACACUUCUUGGACAUUUAGGAUGUUUAUGAUUUUUCACAGUGGGAUGUUGCGAGGUUAAGUUCGGAUCAUCAUGUGGCUUGGACAUGGGCUGCUCUUCCUGCCAACUCAAUUCUCACAUAAAACCCUAGGAGGAGAAGGUGGGAUGGAGCAGCCGCCGUGGGAACAGUCUGGCGGCUCCCCAAAAACUUAAGCAGGG